AGUGAACGCUGGCGGUAGGCCUAACACAUGCAAGUCGAACGGCAGCACAGUAAGAGCUUGCUCUUACGGGUGGCGAGUGGCGGCCGGGUGAGGAAUACAUCGGAAUCUACUUUUUCGUGGGGGAUAACGUAGGGAAACUUACGCUAAUACCGCAUACGACCUACGGGUGAAAGCAGGGGAUCUUCGGACCUUGCGCGAUUGAAUGAGCCGAUGUCGGAUUAGCUAGUUGGCGGGGUAAAGGCCCACUAAGGCGACGAUCCGUAGCUGGUCUGAGAGGAUGAUCAGCCACACUGGAACUGAGACACGGUCCAGACUCCUACGGGAGGCAGCAGUGGGGAAUAUUGGACAAUGGGCGCAAGCCUGAUCCAGCCAUACCGCGUGGGUGAAGAAGGCCUUCGGGUUGUAAAGCCCUUUUGUUGGGAAAGAAAAGCAGCAGGUUAAUACCCCGCUGUUCUGACGGUACCCAAAGAAUAAGCACCGGCUAACUUCGUG
rnacentral:rRNA from 1 species